GCGGGCGGGUGACGAGCGGGGAGAGGCGGGAUCGUCCCCGCCCCGGUCCCGCCUGCACGGGCGGACCUGCCUUGUCCUUCCCCGGAAUGAGUGACGGCUUGUCAGGUGCCGAGCCCCGUCGUCAUAGAAUCAUAGAAUAUCCUGAGUUGGAAGAGACCCACAAGGACCGUCCAGUCCAACUCCUGGCUCCGCACAGGACAACCCAAACUAUCACCCCUUAAGAGAGUUACGCUCUCCUGUGUUAACAGGCAUCUGCAAAUAUCGUCAGGAACGUUUUCGUUGUGCCUUCCUCUCUUUUCCUUUUUCCUGUUAUAAGCACCUUUGGAGUUAUAUGCUUAAAUCUAAUCGUGAAAUUAGCAGAUAUUCUCAUUAGACGCUGAUGACAAAUCUACAUAGAACCUUAUUCUUUCCUUUUGCUACUACAUACAGUCUUAUUCUUUCCUUUUGCCAGUGAAGGUUGGUGUGAGAAGAUGUCCACACAGUCAGCAGUCUAGCUCGGGAAUGGAAGGAAGCAGCAGAAGCUGGCAACAGGAAUGGGAUUGUGAUGAGCCGAAUUCUAUGGACGUGUUGUUAGAUCCUCCUGAGCUUUUUGCUGUAAACAGUCCAAUUGCUAAUUGGACUUUUUAGCAAUUAUUUAGAAGAAAAUCAGUGACAGACUGGUGAGUGAAAAAGGUGAAACCCUAAAAUAAAAGUCAAAAGACAGUGAAUCGACAUGAUGCUAGAAGACAACAUGGGCAUUCUCUGCACAGGGACUGUUGUGACGGAAAGACAUGAGGGGAAUGGAGAGACAUUCAUGAAGCACAUGAAUGCAAAGCAGCAAGAAAAAAGAGACCUCUUGAUAAACUACAAGAAAGACCUUUUCACAAAUAGUUGGCAGAUUUUUGGUCUGGAAUUAUUUUAUUUGAUCAAUAAUGAUCUGGAAUUAA